UACGGAGGGUGCAAACGUUGCUCGGAAUCAUUGGGCGUAAAGCGCACGUAGGCGGUUCGUUAAGUCGGAUGUGAAAGCCCCGGGCUCAACCCGGGAAGUGCAUACGAAACUGGCGAACUUGAAUAUGGAAGAGGGUCGCGGAAUUCCCGGUGUAGAGGUGAAAUUCGUAGAUAUCGGGAGGAACACCAGUGGCGAAGGCGGCGACCUGGGCCAAUAUUGACGCUGAGGUGCGAAAGCGUGGGGAGCAAACAGG
rnacentral:rRNA from 1 species